CUAAUAUUUUGUAGAUGCAAGUGAAAAUGGAUACUGAUAAUUUUUUGUCAGUUAGAAAAGUGAAAGCUAAAGGGAAUGGAUUCUACAAUGUUUGCUAUUAGCGUCGACAAACCGCCCACGUCAUAACUAGCUAACAGGCGUGCCUGUAACUCUUGUGGUUGCAUCAUCAUCCGACAGCAGUUAUUCUGCCUAUAAAAAUCCUGUUUGUGCUGUUGGUAGUCGAUGUUGCUGCCGUGUAUACGCUGAUUCUGCAACAAGUUGAAAUUAACCCGUUUGUCAUGCAAACAUUCAUUUGCACUCCCUAAAGGACGAUCGGCGAUUGAAAAGGUAGGAAAGUCGUGAGGUGAAAAAAGAAUGUAGCAGAGAGAAACAAUACGAGAAAGAGAGAAAACGCACGAAAAUUAGAUAGAUUGCAGGCGAAAUUCCAGGAAGUGGCGAGGAUGUAAUGUAGAGAGUUGUAGGGAUACAAUGGUGAAGUCAUGGUUUCGAAGAAUGUACUAUAAUAGGCAAAGUAAGAGCGACUCUUAUAUAAAGAAAAACUUCAGAGCAUUAUAUUUGAAUUCGCUGUCAUUUGGAACUGAUCUGAAUGAAAUGUACACAAGCAUUUUUUGUGCGAUCAAUCGCAAAAGGAAACCACUUAUGGGUAAUUUUUUGAGUUGAGUAUGGUGGGAAAAUGGGGAGAGAUUCAGCAAGAGUGUAGCAUAAUAAAAAGCGCGCAAUUUACGUAAAGUUAAAAAAAA